AUAUUGAUACCUUUAUUCAUUGGUUAUAUCCAAUGAAAGUAUCGAUACUUACUUGAUAUCAAAACAGAAGUAUUUCACUAGUGAGCAGCCAAUAGUUGCAGCUGCAGUAAUCAACUUUUGUUUACGUUUAUUACCUUAUCUCGUUGAGAAUCAUUGGACAGACUGUAGAUUUUUACAAUUACUGCAAAUGUCAUUCUUUUCAUAAACCUUGAAAAAAAUAAUUUUUUAACAAAAAAAUGUCAAUAACAGAUUUUUAUUUCAUUUAAUUGAGGUUGGUGUAACUGAUACCAAAAAUAGUAAUAAUUUGAACAUCCCAUCAUAGUUGGCAAUUACAGGCAUAAGAAUAUUCCUAUGUCCAUGGUGGCAAUAGAGCAAAGGCAAUCCUUUAUUAAGCUAUUAUAUCGUACUUCAAACAAUAGUUAGAUUUAUAAAUUGCCUUGAAAUUUUAAGUGCGGACGUUUGUUACAAAAGUGCCGAAGAAUGCAAGUAGGAAAGAGACAUUUUGAAAUUGCUACGAAAUGGAUCCCAUCUGCAUUAACUUAUGGAGGAGCAGCUGGUUUGGCACUGAUUUAUUUUACCGAUUGGAAAGUAGUAGCUAGAUACAUACCAUUUUAUGGAAGCAAAUUCGACAACUAAAUUGUAAAAUAUAUUUAUUGUAAUAUGUUACUUAAUAAAUUAUAGUAUUAUAUAA